UCAAGCUUUUAAGGGCAUACGGAGGAUGCAUUGGCAUCAGAAGGCGAUGAAGGACGUGGCAAACUGCGAUAAGCUUCGGGUAGGAGUUAACAUCCGUUAAACCGAAGAUUUCCGAAUGGGACAACCCGACAGCGGUGAACCGCUGUUAUCUCCUGAUGAAUUCAUAGUCAGGAAGAGGCCAACCCGGGGAACUGAAAUAUCUAAGUACCUGGUGGAAAAUAAAUCAAACGAGAUUCUCCUAGUAGUGACGAGCGAACGGAGAACAGCCCAAACCGUGGUAGCUUGCUAUCGCGGGGUUGUAGGACCCUUGUAGUGAUCGGUCAGUAAGUAUGUGAAGUUCGCUGGAAAGCGACGCCAUAGUAGGUGAUAGCCCUGUAACUUAAACUGAACGCCGCACGUGGGUAUCCUGAGUAGUGCGGGACACGAGAAAUCCUGUGCGAAUCUGGGAGGACCAUCUUCCAAGGCUAAAUACUCUCUGAUGACCGAUAGCGAAAUAGUACCGCGAGGGAAAUGUGAAAAGAACCCUUACUAAGGGAGUGAAAUAGAACCUGAAACCGUAUGCUUACAAGCUGUCGGAGCCGCGCUUCGGCGUGGUGACGGCGUGCCUUUUGCAUAAUGAGCCAGCGAGUUACUCGUACGUUGCAAGGUUAAGAAGUCAUCAAGCUUCGUAGCCGUAGCGAAAGCAAGUCUGAAAUGGGCGAUUAGUAACGUGCGGUAGACGCGAAACCUCAGUGAUCUAGCCAUGGCCAGGUUGAAGUAGGGGUAAAACCCUAUGGAGGACCGAACCGGUGUAAGUUGAAAGUUGCUCGGAUGAGCUGUGGCUAGGGGUCUCCUCGAAAUAUCUUUAGGGAUAGUCUCGGAUAAUACAUCGUCAUGGGGGUAGAGCACUGAUAGGGCUAGGGCCGUCACAACGGUACCAAACCCUCUCAAACUCCGAAUACCAUUGACGAGUUCUCCGGGAAGCAGCUGGCGAGGGAUAAGCUUCGUUGGCGAAAGGGGAAGAACCCAGAUCAUCGGCUAAUGCCCCUAAGUAUGGGCUAAGUGAGAAAGGAUGUGGAACCGCAGUGACAACUAGGAUGUUUGCUUAGAAGCAGCCAUCAUCUAAAGAUAGCGUAAUAGCUCACUAGUCAAGCAGUUCCGCGCCGACAAUACACGGGACUAAGCCCGUCGCAGAAGCCGUGGAUUUACAGAUUUAUCUGUAAGUGGUAGAGGAGCAUUCCAGUAACCAUUGAAGGUCGGGCGCGAGCCCGGCUGGAGGACCUGGAAGAGAUUAUGCUGGCAUAAGUAGCGAUAAGAGGAGUGAAAAACUCCUCCACCGAAAGCCCAAGGUUUCCUGAGUAAAGUUAAUCUGCUUGGGGUUAGUCGGUACCUAAGGCGAGGCCAAGCGGCGUAGCUGAUGGAAAACAGGUUAAUAUUCCUGUACUACUUUGUAUUCGUUAUCAGCCAAGGAGUGACGCAGAAGUGAAAGACGAGCCUGGACUGGUUUCCAGGUUUAAGUGCGUAGCGAGAUCGCGUAGGUAAAUCCGCGCGGUUGUUAAAGUGAAACACGAAUAAGAAACGAGCCUCACGGCAAGCCAAUUCGUCCUAAUCAUGCUGCCGAGAAAAACUUCUACGCGAGAAUGCAGAGUAACCGUACCGUAAACCGACACAGGUGGGCGAGGAGAAUAUCCAAAGGUGCUCGAGAUAGCGCUUGUUAAGGAACUAGGCAAAUUGACCCCGUAACUUCGGGAUAAGGGGUGCCCCGCAAGGGGCCGCAGUGAAAUGGGAUUACCGACUGUUUACCAAAAACACAGGAAUCUGCAAAGUCGUAAAGACGACGUAUAGGUUCUGACACCUGCCCGGUGCUGGAAGGUUAAGGAGAGAGGUUAGCGCAAGCGAAGCUUUGAACCGAAGCCCCAGUAAACGGCGGCCGUAACUAUAACGGUCCUAAGGUAGCGAAAUUCCUUGUCGGGUAAGUUCCGACCUGCACGAAUGGUGUAACGCGGUGAAGAUGCCGGCUCCCCGCAGCGGGACGGAAAGACCCUAUGAACCUUUACUAUACCUUAGCAUUGUGUUUUGACAUUAUGUGCGUAGCAUAGGUGGGAGACUUUGAAGCUUGCUCCUGGGCAAGUGGAGUCGCAAUGUGAAAUACCACCCUCAUGAUAUCGAAAUUCUAACUUAGUUCUGUGAAUCCAGAACAAGGACAUUGCUAGGCGGGUAGUUUGACUGGGGCGGUCGCCUCCUAAAAGGUAACGGAGGCUUGCAAAGGUCAGCUCAGCACGCUUGGUAACCGUGCGAAGAGUGCAAAGGCAUAAGCUGGCUUGACUGUUAGGCCAACACGCCGAACAGCGACGAAAGUCGGCCUUAGUGAUCCGGUGGUUCUGCAUGGAAUGGCCAUCGCUCAAAGGAUAAAAGGUACUCUAGGGAUAACAGGCUGAUCGGGUCCAAGAGUCCACAUCGACGACCCGGUUUGGCACCUCGAUGUCGGUUCAUCGCAUCCUGGGGCUGGAGAAGGUCCCAAGGGUUUGGCUGUUCGCCAAUUAAAGCGGUACGUGAACUGGGUUCAGUGAACUGGGUUCAGAACGUCGUGAGACAGUUCGGCCCCUAUCUGCUGUGGGCGUAGGAUAUUUGAAAGGAUCUAUUCUUAGUACGAGAGGACCGGAAUGGACGAACCUCUAGUGCAUCUGCUGUUUUACCAAAGGCACGGCAGAGUAGCUAUGUUCGGACGGGAUAAGUGCUGAAAGCAUCUAAGUACGAAACCCACCUUGAGAUUAGAUAUCCCGGCCGCAAGGCCCUAAAGACUCCACGGAGACUACGUGGUUGAUAGGUCACAGAUGUAAGCGCAGUAAUGCGUUCAGUCGAGUGAUACUAAUAAGUCGUGCGGCUUGAUUUA
rnacentral:rRNA from 1 species